UGUGCAUUCAACUACAUUUUACUAAUGUUGCACAAUAUGACAAACAGUUUCGUACAUUAGUAUUUGUGAUCGAUUGAAACUUGACCAGAGGAUCUACUCAACUACUUGCAGCUUGACAUUUUGCAAUAAAAAAAAGAAAAAAAAAAGUAAUUUGUUUGGUCGCUGGUGUUUAAAUGCAGUUUCGGAAAAUCCGUUCCGGGAUACAUCUGAAACGGCAGAUUUUAUGCAUUUCGUUGUGCACGGAUUUUACCCAGAGCUCGACCCAGAGGCAUUCCCCGACAGAUCCAGCCCAGUAACUCCCAAUACCGAUGACCUGCGGCAGCUUUAACCUCAGCAUUGUUGAAAACCUCCGGUAGAACUAAAGGAGAAGAAGAGCGAUGUCGUUUAGCAAAAUGUUCAUACAUGGUUCCGAUUCUCGUCGCUCAACGGCCGGCAGGGAAAAGUGAACAAAAUGUGGCUCACUGCCGGCAUUCGUUGGAGCCGCAACAAUUGGUGGAGGAAUUGCAUCUAGUAGGAUGGGAGUGGCUGCUGGGCAUGAGUCUUGGAAUAGAUGGUAAAUA